GACGAACGCUGGCGGCGUGCUUAACACAUGCAAGUCGAACGGAAAGGCCCUGCUUUUGUGGGGUUCUCGAGUGGCGAACGGGUGAGUAACACGUGAGUAACCUGCCCUUGACUUUGGGAUAACUUCAGGAAACUGGGGCUAAUACCGGAUAGGAGCUCCUGCUGCAUGGUGGGGGUUGGAAAGUUUCGGCGGUUGGGGAUGGACUCGCGGCUUAUCAGCUUGUUGGUGGGGUAGUGGCUUACCAAGGCUUUGACGGGUAGCCGGCCUGAGAGGGUGACCGGCCACAUUGGGACUAAGGUAGGGCCCAGACGCCUACGGGAGGCAGCAGUGGGGAAUAUUGCGCAAUGGGCGGAAGCCUGAGGCAGAAACGCCGCGUGCGGGAUGACGGCCUUCGAGUUGUAAACCGCUUUCGCCUGUGACGAAGAGUGAGUGACGGUAAUGGGUAAAGAAGCACCGGCUAACUACGUG
rnacentral:rRNA from 1 species